rnacentral:lncRNA from 1 species
UAAGGGGAGAGGAAUUACACUCCACCUCUCAAUGGGUGAAUGGACAGACAAAAGAUAUUGAAAGCCGACUCCAGCAAACAAUGCAGAUAACUCUGCAGGAUGACAAUGGAUCCGGAAUAGGAAAUGUUACAAUGGUAACAGCCAGCUGAGACCUGACCAGGGGCCCGGAGACAUUUCCAAGAGGAUGGAGGAGCCCUUCUCAGCUACAUCUCAGAAAUAAAUGCACAGCCUUCUAAGGGACUACUGUGAAAGACAAGGUGUUCUGGACUACAUAUUACAAAAGUGCC